rnacentral:rRNA from 1 species
UUGGCUUAGAAGCAGCCAUCAUUUAAAGAAAGCGUAAUAGCUCACUGGUCGAGUCGGCCUGCGCGGAAGAUGUAACGGGGCUAAACCAUGCACCGAAGCUGCGGCAGCGACACUAUGUGUUGUUGGGUAGGGGAGCGUUCUGUAAGCCGUUGAAGGUGUGCUGUGAGGCAUGCUGGAGGUAUCAGAAGUGCGAAUGCUGACAUAAGUAACGAUAAAGCGGGUGAAAAGCCCGCUCGCCGGAAGACCAAGGGUUCCUGUCCAACGUUAAUCGGGGCAGGGUGAGUCGACCCCUAAGGCGAGGCCGAAAGGCGUAGUCGAUGGGAAACAGGUUAAUAUUCCUGUACUUGGUGUUACUGCGAAGGGGGGACGGAGAAGGCUAUGUCAGCCGGGCGACGGUUGUCCCGGUUUAAGCAUGUAGGCGGAGGUUCCAGGUAAAUCCGGUACCUUAUUAACGCUGAGGUGUGAUGACGAGGCACUACGGUGCUGAAGUGAUAAAUGCCCUGCUUCCAGGAAAAGCCUCUAAGCAUCAGGUAACACGAAAUCGUACCCCAAACCGACA